rnacentral:lncRNA from 1 species
GAAUACUUCCCCUGAGCUGUUAGCUCAGGGGUCUGCCCCACCCACUGGAACAUUGACUUAAUACAGUUCAGCCAAGAUAGGCAGCCCACUCUAGGACUGCCCUACCCAACAGCAGGCCCUCAGGCAACUUGUGGGCCUACAUAGGCUGGAUUUGCACUUUUUGCUUCGCCUUGCAGAUGAAGUGUCAUCCAAUAGAUCCUGACUUUAUUUCAGAAAUGAAGGAAAUUCAAAAUCUUUCCAUGUCUUAUACCUCUGUGUGCAAGAAAACGAUCAUCAGGAAAUCUCACAAGCAAAGUUUAAGGAGUACCCACCAAAAUAUCAAAUCAAUUCCCCACUGGAUACCAAAAAGUACAGUUGUAGUCUGUACCUACCUUUCUUGAGUCUGUGGGCUCUAUGACAGCUUCGAGUGUGGCAGAAGUGACACAUUAAGAAACCGGAAACUCCCACUUCCUGUCGCUUGGAACAUUCACUCUUCGAUGCCACCACUAUCCUGCGAGGAAGCUGAAGAAAGCCCUUGGAGAAAUCCACAUAAGGAGGAACUGAGGCCCUGAGCCAAUAGCUCUAGCUAAGCCCUCAGCUAUCAGCCAGCACAAAUUUAUCAGAUAUGUGAGUAGAUCUUCCGGCUCUCUUGAGUCACCACAGCUGACGGCACAUAGAGCAGCAAUGUGCACACAACAGAGCCCGUUUGUGUUCUUCAUCCACAAAGCCAUGAGAUAAAUAAAAUUCAUAUUUCAAGCCA